rnacentral:rRNA from 1 species
UACGUAGGGGGCAAGCGUUGUCCGGAUUUAUUGGGCGUAAAGAGCUCGUAGGCGGUUUGGUAAGUCGGAUGUGAAAUCUCCAGGCUCAACCUGGAGGGGUCAUUCGAUACUGCCAUGACUAGAGGUCGGUAGGGGAGUGUGGAAUUCCUGGUGGAGCGGUGAAAUGCGCAGAUAUCAGGAGGAACACCCGUAGCGAAGGCGGCACUCUGGGCCGAUUCUGACACUGAGGAGCGAAAGCGUGGGGAGCGAACAGG